GUCGUUGGAUUAGCUUUUCGAGGUGGAUUGAUGUUACCGGAAAUUUCGGAUUUCCUCCUAAACCGUAGUUUACAGUAUGUACUAUUGGGUUUUGUAUAUCAUGUUCUAUAGCUCGAAUUCGUGAAUUUGCAUGUUCUUUAAAUCUGAAUUUGGAGUUUAGUUAUUGGUUUAGAUAAAUUAUACAUGUUGGACUUAGAUUUGAUUUAGGAGAAAACAUUUAGAUUAUAUACUGUCAUUUUCUAAAAACUACCAGAUUUAGCUUUAGGAGUUGUAGUUUGUUUGUAUUGCCGCAGUUUGUAUGCGGUGAAUAUCCAGAAUAAUGUAGAAUAAAUUUAUGCUCGUGCUGGGAUGUCGAAUGUAUUUUUACAGUAGUGUAUAGACUGUUCCGGACUGUCGGGUGCCGUUGCGGUUGACGGUGGACCCGGAUUGCUGUUUUUGUAUCAAAUUGUGCCGAGGGCAUGUUUAUUAUGGUUGUUAGACUAGUUAGACCAUUCUGUUUUGAUUACAGCCUGUGAGAGCCUGAUUGAGCUCGGCAGAGAUACGCUUGCAAUUUCGGUUGGGUAGC
rnacentral:lncRNA from 1 species